GGAAGCUUUGCAACUGCGGACUGCCAAUGUCCUUGAUCGUCUGGCGAGCCUUUAUCGUUCUGAAAAAUAUUUGAUCUCGAAGAAGGACUCACAGCGAUGGCGAGUGAAGAAGAGAGAGCUCUAGAGAAUCAGCUGGAGCUUCAGUUACAGGAGCAGAAAGAUUCACUUGCUGCCUUGGAUGAUGCUCUCGCCUCUGACCCCUCCAAUGCCGAGCUCCUCUCGGUUCAAGAGGAGCUUGUUCAGACAAUUAAAGAUGCAGAGGAUGGACUUCUGCACCUAAAGCGUGCACGUUUAUUGCGGGAAGUUGAUUCCGCACUCGAUGAUUCUAAGCAUUCUGCUGAUUAUGUUAAGGUAGAGCCUCUUGAUCCAAAUGAUGUUGAACCAGAGCCACUGGAGGAGCAAAGUUACUCUGUUGGAUCAAAAUGUAGAUUCCGUUACAAUGAUGGACGAUGGUAUAACGGUAAAAUUAUUGGGUUGGAAGGUUCUAAUACAGUGAAGAUCUCUUUCCUUACCCCUACCUCAGAAAAUAUGAUGAUCACCCAAGCGCAGAUAUGCAAGUUUUUCCUGCAACAACGAUGUCGAUUUGGUACUAAUUGCCGCUUAUCGCAUGGGUUUAAUGUGUCAUUAUCUUCUCUGAAGAAGUACAUCCCAACAAUGUGGGAUCAGUCAUUGGUGGGGUCCAGUAUUUGGGCAGCUUCGGAUAAUAAUGCUGGCAUUUGGAGGAAAGCUGAACUUGAAUCAUGGGAUGAUGAACUCAGAGUAGGGAAGGUUGUUUUUCGUGAUGAUGGAAGCUCUGCAAAGCUUGGGAGUGAUGCAAUGACUUUGUCUGCGUGUGCUUUAAUGAGUGAUGAAGAGGAAGGUGAUUCAAGCUCAGAACAAUCUGAUUCUAGUGAUUAUGAAGAAGAGGGCACACAAGGUUUAGGAUUUCUCGAGAGCAGCACUCUACAAAGAGGCAUACAAACAGAAACUGCCAUAUUUGCCAAGUGGGAAAAUCACACCCGGGGCAUAGCUUCGAAGAUGAUGGCAAACAUGGGCUACCGUGAUGGAAUGGGUUUAGGUGCAUCUGGGCAGGGAAUGUUGGAUCCCAUUUCUGUGAAGGUCCUCCCAGCAAAGCAAUCGCUUGAUCAUGCUAUACAAUCUCAAAAGGAAGAAGAGAUCAAAGAGGAUCAGGGGAGGAAGCGGAGCAGAGGUGGAAAGAGAAAACGCGAGAAGAAGUUUGCUGCUUUGGCUAGGGUAGCAGAAGAAGAAGAGGAAAUGGGACCAGAUGUUUUCAGUCUUAUCAAUAAUCAACUGGCUAUGCAUAGUGAGGCUUUGAAUGGAGGGUCUGCUAAGAAGCAUCAAAAUAAAGGCUCUGGAGAGAAGAAAGUGGACAGACGAGUUCUGGUUGCAUACGAUGAUGAGGUGAAGGAGUUGAGAAUGCGAGUGGAAAAGCUUGAAGAGAUGGCAAGUAGAAACAAAAAGGAGAAGGUGGUUUAUGAGGCUGCCAUGAGGAAGUUGAAUGAGACUCGCAAAGCUCUGGUAGAAGCUGAGGCUGCUCAUGCUUCUGCGUCAAAUGCAGUUGCAACUAAAGAAAAAGAGAAGAAAUGGCUCAAGUUUUGAGGUGAUAAUAUCAAUGUUGUUGUGUAAUGCAAAGUUAUCCAAGUGUAUGGAUAGUCCAAAAAUUAUUGCGUG
rnacentral:misc_RNA from 1 species